AUGGGCGCCGAUGUGGUGUUCGAGGUCGGCGGCGAGACCGUGGCGGCCCACCGGUGCGUGCUCGCGGUUCGUUCGGCGGUCUUUGCGGCCGAGCUCUUCGGGCCAUUGAAGGAGGGCAAUGCUGCCACCACCGGGGUCGUCGUGCGCGUGGACGACAUGGAGGCGGAAGUGUUCAAGGCGCUGCUUCGUUACGUGUACACCGGCAAGUUGCCGGAGAUGUGCAAGGAAGACGAAGACGUCACCUGUCAGCAUCUGCUCGUGGCAGCGGAUAGGUAUGGCAUAGGGCGGCUGAAGUUGAUCUGCGAGGCAAGGCUGUGCCAUUACAUAAAUGUGGACUCCUUGGCGAUCAUCUUGGCGCUAGCCGAGCAGCACCAUUGUCAGGGGCUGAAGAAGGCGUGCUUUUACUUUCUCGCCGCUCCCGGGAAUCUGACGGCCGUCAUGGCCACCGACGGCUUCCAGCAUUUGGCAACAAGCUGCCCUUCUAUUAUGCUUGAGAUCAUGGCGUUCUUGGCGCAUUAG
rnacentral:rRNA from 1 species